rnacentral:rRNA from 1 species
UACGUAGGGAGCAAGCGUUGUCCGUAAUCAUUGGGCGUAAAGCGCGCGUAGGUGGCUAUGUAAGUCCGUUGUGAAAGUCAAAGGCUCAACCUUUGAAAGCCGAUGGAUACUGCAUAGCUAGAGUACGGAAGAGGCGAGUGGAAUUCCUGGUGUAGCGGUGGAAUGCGCAGAUAUCAGGAGGAACACCGGUGGCGAAGGCGGGUCUCUGGGCAGUAACUGACGCUGAGGAGCGAAAGCGUGGGGAGCGAACAGG